rnacentral:rRNA from 1 species
UACGUAGGUGGCAAGCGUUUUCCGGAAUUAUUGGGCGUAAAGCGCGCGCAGGCGGUUUCUUAAGUCUGAUGUGAAAGCCCACGGCUCAACCGUGGAGGGUCAUUGGAAACUGGGGAGCUUGAGUGCAGAAGAGGAAAGUGGAAUUCCACGUGUAGCGGUGAAAUGCGUAGAGAUGUGGAGGAACACCAGUGGCGAAGGCGACUUUCUGGUCUGUAACUGACGCUGAGGCGCGAAAGCGUGGGGAGCAAACAGG